rnacentral:rRNA from 1 species
UACGUAGGUGGCAAGCGUUAUCCGGAAUUACUGGGUGUAAAGGGUGAGUAGGCGGGGAAGCAAGUCAGAUGUGAAAUGCAAAGGCUUAACCUUUGAAUUGCAUUUGAAACUGUUUCUCUUGAGGGUCGGAGAGGUAAUCGGAAUUCCUAGUGUAGCGGUGAAAUGCGUAGAUAUUAGGAGGAACACCAGUGGCGAAGGCGGAUUACUGGACGACUACUGACGCUGAAUCACGAAAGCGUGGGGAGCAAACAGG